GGUUUUUGUCUUUGAUUCUGUUUAUAUGAUGGAUUAUAUUUACUGAUUUGUGUAUGUUGAACCAGCCUUGCAUCCCAGGGAUGAAGGUGACUUGAUUGUGAUGGAU